rnacentral:rRNA from 1 species
ACGCUCGACACCUACGUGAGGCAGCAGUGGGGAAUAUUGCACAAUGGGGGAAACCCUGAUGCAGCGACGCCGCGUGGAGGAAGAAGGUCUUCGGAUUGUAAACUCCUGUUGUUGGGGAAAAAGAGGAUGGUACCCAACAAGGAAGUGACGGCUAACUACGUGCCGGCAGCCGCCGGUAAUCUGAGCGGGCGUGGCAAGGC